UGAAAAUCUUACCAACCCUAAUGUAUAUUGUGAUUUAAAUUUUUCCCAAAUCAGCGCCUGGAAGAAAUCAUGAAAAGAACAAGACAGACAGACUCUGAUGACAAGAAAGCUGCAUCAGUGAAGGACAACUUGCCUUGUGAAAACGUAAAGUCUGUAAUCAGGCAACCAGAUCCAGGAAAAAUGCCAAAGCUGGAGCUGAGGGACGAGGAGGAUAUGCUUCCUACUGUGGCCUUCAAAGAGCGAUGGUCCUUCCGCAGUCUUUCUGGCCUGGAUGAGAUACAAGCCCAUCAGCAAACCGAGGUUAUUUAACCCACGGACCUGUCAUACGAUGCCAAGACGUUCAGAGCAACUUCAGCAAGUUUGUCUUUCUGAAAAACACAAACAUAUGCACUUGAUUUGCCUGCACUUUAAUAAAUCUGUAGUUUAAUAAACAAGUCACACUUUUUACAGUUUCCUACUGCCCAGUUAAAAUACCUAAAUUACUGCUUGAUUUGCUAAAGUGACAUGUAUUGUUCAUGUAUUGCUCAGUAGACAUAACUUUGGGAAUGUGGUAAGAUUCACAUAAUAAUAAUAUUAACAAUGAAAAUAAUAAUAAUACUUAAUGACAAAGGUAGACUACCCACCAAACAAAAACUUGAAUUAUUCAUUUUUAAGCUUUAAUUGAAUAUUUUAGCCAGUGUGUUUAUGGUGUUAUGGUUUCUCCUUGAAUGUCUGAGUGACAUAAUAGUCAUGGAUUUAUCAGUCUUUUUCAUAAAUAUACACAUGUAAACAGUAAUUCAUCUGCACGAAUGCAUACUGUACACUACUGUUUAAAAGUGUGGGGUCAGUAUGAUUUUUAUUUAAUAAUUAAUACUUUUAUUCAGCAAGAAUGCAUUAAAAUGAUCAAAGGUGACAACAGAG
rnacentral:lncRNA from 1 species